GUCCUUGUAGUUUAAUGGAUAGAACAAGGCUCUCCUAAGGCCUAAAUAGAGGUUCGAUUCCUCUCAAGGACACCA
rnacentral:tRNA from 3 species